rnacentral:lncRNA from 1 species
CUAGGAGAUAAGAUUCGUGCAUCAUGACAUCAUAUUCUAGUGCUAGCCGGGCUUGAAGCUCUCCAGAUCGUCUGGGCGGAAAUAAUGGAUGGCCGAGUGGGUCUUGAUUACAUGCUGAAUAUAAUCCAGGGUUUAGACCGAUGCAAUCAUGAAUGAUCACAGGCAAAUACUAACAGCGGAUCAAAGCACACCUGCACGU